GGCUUUUGUGGAAUGUAAAAAGUCUACGAAUAAGGACUGGGUAAGACUAGUGCCAGCCGCCGCGGUAAUACUAGCGGUCCAAGUCGCAGCCAUUCUUAUUGGGUCUAAAACAUCCGUAGCUUGCUUGAUAAGUUUUCUGUGAAAUCUCAUAUCUCAAGUAUAAGAAUUGUGGAAAAUACUGUCAAGCUAGAGACCGGGAGACGUAAAGAGUACGUCUAAAGUAGCGGUAAAAUGUGUUGAUCUUAGGCGGACUGACGAUAGCGAAGGCACUUUACGAGAACGGUUCUGACAGUAAGGGAUGAAGGCUAGGGGCGCAAAACGGAUUAGAUACCCGUGUAGCCCUAGCAGUAAACACUGCACACUAAACCUUGUGAUCUCUUCGAGAGAUUGCAGGGCUGCAGGGAAGCCGAAGAGUGUGCUACCUGGGAAGUAUAGUCGCAAGGCUGAAACUUAAAGGAAUUGGCGGGGAGACACUACAACGGGUGACGCGUGCGGUUCAAUUAGAUUAUACACCGUGAACCUCACCAGGAGCGACAGCAGAAUAAAGGUCAGUCUAAAGGGCUUACCUGACACGCUGAGAGGGGUUGCAUGGCCGACGUCAGCCUGUGCUGUGAGGCGAUCUGUUAAAUCAGAUAACAGGCAAGACCCACAUCUUUAUUUAC
rnacentral:rRNA from 1 species